rnacentral:lncRNA from 1 species
GGGAAAGGAAGGAUAUAUAGAAAGAAGAAAAAAGUUAUUUAUUUUGUCAUUGCCACAGUUUAAAAAAUAUCACUGAAUACUUGUAGGAUAUUGCAAACUGAAGGGAAUUAAAAUAAAAUCUCCCCAGAAAAAGGAACCUUACUCCAAGUUAGAUAAAAAAUACUCUCUGCAUGAGUAAUUGGAUCCCUAAAUGUAAUGAAAUGUUGGCGGAACGUUGUGCUGCAUACCAAAUACUCCCUUUAACAAGCUGAAAUCUGAAAACGGUGGAAACAUAGGUCAGAGUUUCUGCUCAGAAAUGAUAGCACAAGAACAAGGAGCUGCAUUAGAAAUGGGUUUCCCAUUCAUAAAUAUAUGAUAAGCAUUGUUUGGAAGAGGCUUCUUUUUUCAUGAACAGCUAGAGUCAGAAGGGAACAAAAGCUUCAAAUGAAAACCCACCGGGCUUAAGGAGACUGACACAACCCAUUAGGAGAAUGACAUUUUUCUUCCUGAGAUAGUAUAUUGUCACUUGACAGAAAUUAAGAGAAGAAAUAAAAAAUGCAUUUUAUGUACUGUGGCAAUACAUUUGUAUUGGUGAAGUUUUAGUGGAAAUAUCAUAUCUCACAAAAAUAGAAUACAAUAACGGGUGAAAUUAUUUGCAGGCAUUGGAGCUAUUAAUAACGUGGACUCAGGUUGUCACCACUCUGGAAAAAAAGUCAAAGAUGAGAUAUUGCAUGAACGCAUUUGCAAGAGCUCUCCCUGUCCAUUUCCUCUCUCCAGGUAUGGAGUUUUCUGUGCAACGUGGAACUAGGAUGGAUCAGGCAGAAAUUGGAGCUGGAUAAGUUUUCAGUGGUACAGGCAUUGCAAGGUAUAAGCAGAAAAGCCACAGGAAGCCUAACACAGCAUGAAUGUUACUCGAUGAACCCUGACAUGACAGUGGGAUGCUGGAGGACAAGGAUUUUAAGUCUUGAUUCUAAAAUAUACAUAGAAGAUUAUAUAGCAUAGAAAAGGCAGGAGAGUCCACAUGACUGCUUUUUUCCAAAGAAGCUUGGCAAUACAGUUUUAUUGUAUUAAGAAUUACACAAGCCUCCCUUGUCCUACAUGUGAGUACUUCAAAUAUUAAAUAAGAAUAACAAAUACAGAACUAACAGAUCUCUUUGGUGAACUCUAC